CGGGGUGCGGCGCAGUCCGGUUAGCGCACCUGCUUUGGGAGCAGGGGGUCGGAGGUUCGAAUCCUCUCACCCCGA
rnacentral:tRNA from 1 species